rnacentral:tRNA from 1 species
GGAGGUGUGACUUAGCAGGAGAGUACCUGCCCAGCAAGCAUGAGGUUCUGAGUUCAAAACCCAGUACCACCU